rnacentral:rRNA from 1 species
CAAAAACAUUGCUUUUUGAAACACAUAUAAAAAGUAAUUCCUGCCCAGUGACACAGUUCAACGGCCGCGGUAUCCUAACCGUGCAAAGGUAGCAUAAUCACUUGCCCAUUAAUUGUGGGCUAGAAUGAAAGGAUCAACGAAAUAAAAACUGUCUCUAUAAGAAAAAUAAAAAUUAAACUCUAACUGAAGAGCGUUAGAUAAAAUCGAAGGACAAGAAGACCCUAUAGAGCUUAAUUUUACCAAAGAAUUUCACUUAAAUAAAAAUUCGGUUGGGGCGACCAAGGAUCUACAAAUCAUCCUUACAGUAAAGAUAUAUUAAUCCUAUAAAAGACCCUUAAAAAAGAGCUAAAAAACAAGCUACCUUAGGGAUAACAGGCUAAUCCCACUAAAGAGUCCUUAUCUACAGUGGGGGUUGGCACCUCGAUGUUGGCUUAGGGAAACUAUGUGGCGCAAAAGCCCCAUAAAGAUGGUUUGUUCAACCAAUAAAUCCCUACGUGAUCU